rnacentral:misc_RNA from 1 species
GUCGGUCCUGCCCGUGCAGCGACGAUUAGGCAUGCCUUCCUCUUCAGUUCUAGGCACAAGUGCUACAUGGCCUUGGCCGAACUCGGGUUUCCUGUGUUGUAUACCUACCGGACGGAAUUUGACGGCCGAUAAUCGAACGAUCGUCUAAUGCCGCCCUCGUUGGUGGCUGCGGACGAUCCACGAAGCGAGAUAUGUGAUCCUCAAUGCAGAGCCUCUUGGCCUUGCUUUUGAGGCCCACAUUUCUUUGCUCGGACUGAGGGAUUCGGAAAAUUCUGUUGGUAUGGGGUCUUCGGGCCUUUAUUUACCGCACAUUCAAAAACAUUCGAACGACGUUCGACGGUGCGCUGGCCUGACGGCCACGCAUCUCGAUGUCCGUGAGGAAUGCUACCU